rnacentral:misc_RNA from 1 species
UUUCCGUAGGUGAACCUGCGGAAGGAUCAUUACCAGGAAACGGUGCCUUCGGGUGCCGGUUCUCAAACCUCUGUAUACCAACCUUUCAGUUGCCUCCGGCGGCCCUGGGCCGGCGCGGCGCGUCCCCCUCUCCCCCCGUUCGCGGGAGGCUUGGGGGCCGCCCCCCCGCGCCGGACCACCCGCCGGGCGGUCAGAUACAAAACCUUUUGUUGAGAUGGCAUCGUCUAAUUUCUUCAUUACAAUAUGAAAUACAACUUUCAACAAUGGAUCUCUUGGCUCCGGCAUCGAUGAAGAACGCAGC